rnacentral:rRNA from 1 species
UGGGCGUAAGCGCGCGCAGGCGGCCUUUUAAGUCUGAUGUGAAAGCCCACGGCUCAACCGUGGAGGGUCAUUGGAAACUGGAAGGCUUGAGUGCAGAAGAGAAGAGCGGAAUUCCACGUGUAGCGGUGAAAUGCGUAGAGAUGUGGAGGAACACCAGUGGCGAAGGCGGCUCUUUGGUCUGUAACUGACGCUGAGGCGCGAAAGCGUGGGGAGCGAACAGGAUUAGAUACCCUGGUAGUCCACGCCGUAAACGAUGAGUGCUAAGUGUUGGGGGGUUUCCGCCCCUCAGUGCUGCAGCUAACGCAUUAAGCACUCCGCCUGGGGAGUACGGCCGCAAGGCUGAAACUCAAAGGAAUUGACGGGGGCCCGCACAAGCGGUGGAGCAUGUGGUUUAAUUCGAAGCAACGCGAAGAACCUUACCAGGUCUUGACAUCCCGCUGACCGGUCUGGAGACAGAUCUUCCCCUUCGGGGGCAGCGGUGACAGGUGGUGCAUGGUUGUCGUCAGCUCGUGUCGUGAGAUGUUGGGUUAAGUCCCGCAACGAGCGCAACCCUUGAUCUUAGUUGCCAGCAUUUAGUUGGGCACUCUAAGGUGACUGCCGGUGACAAACCGGAGG